CAUAACACGCAGCGGAAGACAGUAACAAUCCUAGGUAGAUUUUUCAUGUUUUAAAUUUAUUUACCUGUCAAAGAUCGGGUCUAAGACGUACCUGGUGAAGAGAGUUUCCUUUUUCAGAAUUUCUUCGAUAGUGCGAAGACUCUAUGCGUAUCCACACCGAGACCGAUCCUUGCUAUCAACUCUUUGAUCAAUGAAACCCGCGA
rnacentral:lncRNA from 1 species